CCUACGGGUCGCAGCAGUGGGGAAUAUUGGACAAUGGGCGAAAGCCUGAUCCAGCCAUGCCGCGUGUGUGAAGAAGGCCUUCGGGUUGUAAAGCACUUUCAGUGGGGAAGAAAGCCUUGGGGCUAAUACCCUCGAGGAAGGACAUCACCCACAGAAGAAGCACCGGCUAACUCCGUGCCAGCAGCCGCGGUAAUACGGAGGGUGCGAGCGUUAAUCGGAAUUACUGGGCGUAAAGCGCGCGUAGGCGGUCUGAUAAGCCGGUUGUGAAAGCCCCGGGCUCAACCUGGGAACGGCAUCCGGAACUGUCAGGCUAGAGUGCAGGAGAGGAAGGUAGAAUUCCCGGUGUAGCGGUGAAAUGCGUAGAGAUCGGGAGGAAUACCAGUGGCGAAGGCGGCCUUCUGGACUGACACUGACGCUGAGGUGCGAAAGCGUGGGUAGCAAACAGGAUUAGAUACCCCUGUAGUC
rnacentral:rRNA from 1 species